UAGGGAAUCUUCCACAAUGGACGAAAGUCUGAUGGAGCAACGCCGCGUGAGUGAUGAAGGAUUUCGGUUCGUAAAACUCUGUUGCAAGGGAAGAACAAGUAGCGUAGUAACUGGCGCUACCUUGACGGUACCUUGUUAGAAAGCCACGGCUAACUACGUGCCAGCAGCCGCGGUAAUACGUAGGUGGCAAGCGUUGUCCGGAAUUAUUGGGCGUAAAGCGCGCGCAGGUGGUUUCUUAAGUCUGAUGUGAAAGCCCCCGGCUCAACCGGGGAGGGUCAUUGGAAACUGGGAAACUUGAGUGCAGAAGAGGAUAGUGGAAUUCCAAGUGUAGCGGUGAAAUGCGUAGAGAUUUGGAGGAACACCAGUGGCGAAGGCGACUGUCUGGUCUGUAACUGACACUGAGGCGCGAAAGCGUGGGGAGCAAACAGG
rnacentral:rRNA from 3 species